rnacentral:tRNA from 1 species
UAUAAUGUGUCGGAAAAACGAAUAAAUUUGAUAAAUUUGAAUAUGUAAAUUACCAUUAUAU